CAGCCGCCGCGGUAAUACAUAGGUGGCAAGCGUUAUCCGGAAUUAUUGGGCGUAAAGCGCGCGUAGGCGGUUUCUUAAGUCUGAUGUGAAAGCCCACGGCUCAACCGUGGAGGGUCAUUGGAAACUGGGAAACUUGAGUGCAGAAGAGGAAAGUGGAAUUCCAUGUGUAGCGGUGAAAUGCGCAGAGAUAUGGAGGAACACCAGUGGCGAAGGCGACUUUCUGGUCUGUAACUGACGCUGAUGUGCGAAAGCGUGGGGAUCAAACAGGAUUAGAUACCCGCGUAGUCCCUGUCUCUUAUAC
rnacentral:rRNA from 1 species